CAGCUCCGUAAUGCCAUUGCCUAAAUCUCCAUCCACACAGUAUGAAGAGAAUGGGAGAGAGGAGGAGGGCUUCCACAACGCUUUGCUGGAGCUGAAAGACCUGCGAUCUCAGCUUCACCAUGCGGCAGAACAUUGUGAGCGUGCAUUUUCCUCAGCCCAG